rnacentral:snRNA from 1 species
GCUUGUUUUGGCAAUACAUAUAUAAAACAGGAAUGAUGCAGAGAAGAUUAGCAUGACUUCAGCAACAGGGAUGACCUUCAUCAAUUUUAAUGGUGUUGCGUAGUU